GAUGAAGAACGUAGCGAAAUGCGAUAAGUAAUGUGAAUUGCAGAAUUCAGUGAAUCAUCGAAUCUUUGAACGCACAUUGCGCCCGCCAGUAUUCUGGCGGGCAUGCCUGUUCGAGCGUCAUUUCAACCCAUCAAGCCUUAGCUUGUGCUGGGGCCCUGCGGAUCUACCCGCAGGCCCUGAAAACCAGUGGCGGGCUCGCUAGUCACACCGAGCGCAGUAGCACAUCUCGCUUUGGUCGUGCGGCGGGUUCUUGCCGUUAAACACCCCACGUUUUUAAGGUUGACCUCGGAUCAGGUAGGAAUACCCGCUGAACUUAAGCAUAUCAAUAAGCGGGAGGA
rnacentral:misc_RNA from 1 species